rnacentral:rRNA from 1 species
AGACCCGAAACCCGGUGAUCUAGCCAUGGGCAGGUUGAAGGUUGGGUAACACUAACUGGAGGACCGAACCGACUAAUGUUGAAAAAUUAGCGGAUGACCUGUGGCUGGGGGUGAAAGGCCAAUCAAACCGGGAGAUAGCUGGUUCUCCCCGAAAGCUAUUUAGGUAGCGCCUCGUGAAUUCAUCUCCGGGGGUAGAGCACUGUUUCGGCUAGGGGGCCAUCCCGGCUUACCAACCCGAUGCAAACUGCGAAUACCGGAGAAUGUUAUCACGGGAGACACACGGCGGGUGCUAACGUCCGUCGUGAAGAGGGAAACAACCCAGACCGCCAGCUAAGGUCCCAAAGUCAUGGUUAAGUGGGAAACGAUGUGGGAAGGCCCAGACAGCCAGGAUGUUGGCUUAGAAGCAGCCAUCAUUUAAAGAAAGCGUAAUAGCUCACUGGUCGAGUCGGCCUGCGCGGAAGAUGUAACGGGGCUAAACCAUGCACCGAAGCUGCGGCAGCGACACUGUGUGUUGUUGGGUAGGGGAGCGUUCUGUAAGCCUGUGAAGGUGGCCUGUGAGGGUUGCUGGAGGUAUCAGAAGUGCGAAUGCUGACAUAAGUAACGAUAAAGCGGGUGAAAAGCCCGCUCGCCGGAAGACCAAGGGUUCCUGUCCAACGUUAAUCGGGGCAGGGUGAGUCGACCCCUAAGGCGAGGCCGAAAGGCGUAGUCGAUGGGAAACAGGUUAAUAUUCCUGUACUUGGUGUUACUGCGAAGGGGGGACGGAGAAGGCUAUGUUGGCCGGGCGACGGUUGUCCCGGUUUAAGCGUGUAGGUGUGUGUUCCAGGUAAAUCCGGUUCACUUUAACACUGAGGCGUGA